UAUGAAUAGAAACGUGAUAGCGAGGAGCAUAUAGUGGACAAGGUAGCGAGAAAUUUUAAAGUAUAAAAGAUAGUCUUAAUCUAUAUGUGUAAAUCACGA
rfam:Streptococcus pneumoniae 2070335 gspj15.contig.11, whole genome shotgun sequence.